rnacentral:tRNA from 1 species
GGUGGGUUGGCUGAGCGGUUUAAAGCGGUCGUCUUGAAAACGACUUCCGCCUUGCGGAUCGGAGGUUCGAAUCCUCCACCCACCGCCA